CGCGUAGGCGGUUUGCUAAGUUGGACGUGAAAACUCUGGGCUUAACCCAGAGCCUGCAUCCAAAACUGGCAAGCUGGAGUUUUGGAGGGGGAAGCGGAAUUCCUGGUGUAGCAGUGAAAUGCGUAGAUAUCAGGAGGAACACCGGUGGCGAAGGCGGCUUCCUGGACAAAAACUGACGCUGAGGCGCGAAAGCUAGGGGAGCAAACAGGAUUAGAUACCCUGGUAGUCCUAGCCCUAAACGAUGGAUACUUGCUGUGAGGGGGAUUGAAUCCCUUCGUGGCGAAGCUAACGCAUUAAGUAUCCCGCCUGGGGAGUACGGUCGCAAGGCUGAA
rnacentral:rRNA from 1 species